GCUCCAUGGUAGAAUCCCUUGGGUUCAAUCCUAAGUAUAAAAAAAAAAAGAAAAAGUUUUUGGUGACCCCAGUAGCUCCGCUUCCCUGCCUCAUACGUGAGCUUUAGGUUGAGGCAUAGUGUUCACCCAUCCUGGCGUCCUGUCACAGGCAUAUUACAGGAAACCCAGACUUUUAUCUGCCAGUGCAGAAGUAAAUAAAAAUGGAAAAUUAGGUAGUGCCAAUUUUUAAAUUCAUUGUAUUCAAUUUUAUGACAAUACAGCCAUAUGUGAUAUGCUUUCUUUGUGUUAUGCUUUCUUUUUUUUUAACUUGGCAGUAUGUGUAGUUCAUCCAUACCACAGUAUAUGAUACUACCCUCUGAUCUAAGGCUCGCUCAGCUAGCCAUCUUUUCCCUCCCUCCUGGUCACACACAUAUUGGCAACCUGGUAUGUCUUUCAGUUUUCCUUCUGUUAAUCUCUUUGAAUCAGAUAAUAUCAUUUCGUCCAGCAGCAUAUAAGUCACUCCUGUUGUGAGCACUCUCUGCUCACCUAUUGUCUGUAAGGCCCUGAGGGUGUCAUCUCCCACCUUUGCAAGGGGGAGCUGCAGUGCCACAGACCCAGAGUAUGGCAAGCAGGCUGGCCCCAGGUCGUGUGACACACACACACCCUUCUCGGACUUGGGUCAUGGUAUACAAAAUAAGAGCAUCAUCCACAUGUUAUCCCACCCCAUAUUUUCACUCUUAGGUAGCCCUCACAGUAUAAAUCAUUUGGCAGGUGCCAACCGUAGUGACAUUUGCUGCAACACCAUUGUUGUAUCUGCUCUUGCUUGUGUCCAUCCCCCUAGGGUACCUGUUCUCUCAGGGCCUGUCUGAUUGGCUUAGAGAUGUAGGUGGCCUUCUUGAGAAAGAAUAUGAGAAAUUCUGCAUCACCAUCUCUGCCAGCAGAGGACGUACACUCCUUACCUGUUGCUGUGCCAAAAGUUUUAAAUUGUAAUCUCUUUGCUCCUGUAAUUUCAUUAAUUUCUUUAGCAAAUGUUCCACCAUGGACUACUCUGCUGGGCCUCCCUCUGGUUUGUUGGUACAGCAGGAAGGGGUGGUAUGAAAGCUGAGUGGGAUGUUGGCCUCCAGGAGGUGAAGAGGCUGCAGCUCCCUGAAGAAGGUUGUAAAAUUCAGAAUAGCUUCCUGGGAGCUGAACUGGGGACUGGAAGGACUUCUGAGCAGAAGACAAUCAUAGUAUUUCCCUGAGAAGGCAGAUGGAUUGGCUAGGCAGAUAUGGUGUUGGGAGCCAUAAGACUGCUCAGGGGUGAUCACAGGGCAGUGUGGUCAGGUUGAGUGAGGAUGGUAGACUAGGAGUUGGUGUGAGAGAAUGAAGAGGGGAGGAGGCUGUAUAGACACGCCUGGAUAGAAGGGGGUAGGUGCUGCACUCUGGAUCUGUGGUGCUGUGGCUCUCCACUUAGUAUUGGAUGUUAAAUGUCUGUGAUGCUACGAGAUGUCCAUGUGGAGAUGCUGAAUUGGAGGGAAUGGUGAUAGCCAGCUCAGAGGCACCAAGAGGCACCAGAGGCUGGAUUUCCUGGGCUCAACAUCAUGGCUCGUGGGAUAACCAUGCUUGGCACCAGAUUUACAGGGAAACUGGUAUCAUCUACCAGCACAGGACGCAAGCAGGAAUGGGAACUGGCCUGCCUCAAAGCCUUGUCAUUGUCACAUAAGCAGCAUCUCCUGUGUCAGGCUUUCAGACCUGGAGACCUGCUGGGAGCCCCCAAAUGUGGUUCCUCUGGUUGUUCAUCAUUGGUCCUUCACCCAGGUGUAGUCAGGGCUGUAGUGUGACUUGGCAAGCUGACUUCUGCCAGGUUUCUAGGGAACCAAAUCUGAGUAUUUACUGAAGGCCAAAUUCUCAUGCAUACCUAGUGAACGAGGAAGGGGGUGAUCGAGGGAUGCAUUUGAGAAGGCCCCAUUGAGAGAGUGGUACCCAAGAGACCAGUUGUGUCCCUGCUGACAACAGUAAACAAGAACUUGGCCACAGAGAGAUCAAAGGAGACACUGACCAGGGCUGUUUGGGAUGGCAGAAGCUAAGACUGUAAAGACUGCUCCUCUGAAGAGAUGAGGGGAAUGGAGACCACUUGGGGAGGGUCUACUCCCAUGGGAGGUAGCUGGAUAAGGGUGUGGUCCCUGGGAGGGUAGUUAAAUGACAAGAGAUGCAGAUCUCUCCGGGUGCAUGAUGUCAUGGAAACAACAGGUAUGGCGGGAGACAAGGUGUGCUACUCUACUAAAGGACAGGCAGGUGUCAGGAAAGUGGCCAGAAGGGAGGAAGCAGAGCAGUGAGGCAGGUUUAUGUUCACACACCGUCUUUACCUAAUCCAGAGUUGGUUAGUGCAUAUCCCAUCUGGAGAUACGUAAGUUACUAAAUUAACCGUGGGUUCCACUGAACUGAAAUUUACUGCUUAUCUGUGCUGUUUUUUUUUUGUUGUUGUUGUUGUUGGUUUAUUUGGUACCAGGGAUUGAAUGAGCCCAGGGCUGCUUAACUACAGAGCUAUACCCCCACCCCUUUUAUGUUUUAUUUUGAGACAAGGCUUCACUGAGUUGUUGAGGCUGACUUUGAACUUGUUAUCCUCCUGCCUCAGCCUCCAGAGCCUCUGAGAUUAUAGAAUGCACCACCACACCCAUGCUUGUAGUCUUUUAAAUCCAUGCUUCUGCCUGUGUUUGGCUCCAUCUGUCCCUUAUAGGCAACUCUCUGGUUUGACUGCAGCAGCUUCAUCACUGGCUGGUACUUGGUUCAUUGGGUACCCACUACAUACGUACUUCCCCACUCUUUUGAAUUCCAUUCUUGCCUAUUUUCCAAUAUAUGUUCAUGUGAAUUGUAAGGCAGUUUUA
rnacentral:lncRNA from 1 species